rnacentral:tRNA from 1 species
UCCGCUGUAGUCUAGGUGGCAAGGAUAUACAACUUUCACCCGUACGGCCUGGGUUCGGGUCCCGGCAGUGGAU